CAGGAGUUAAGGCAGAUGUGGAGGCACAACUUGUGAUACCAGACACACACCAAGCACAUUAUGUUCGGACAUUCAAUCAUGACAGGAUCCAGGUGGAUGCUGUCCAUUGAUGAAAGAGUUUGUUCAGCGGUUUCUGGAUAGAAUUAAUUCCAAAGAUGGGAAAAAGUGCACAUCCAGACAAGGAGCAAGCAAAAAGACAAGGAACUUGGUGCAGAGAAAAGCUGUGGCCAUUAACCCCCAUGUGAACAGCUUCAUGCAGUCCCUGAUUGAGUUCGAAUGGACGACUUCAAAGUAAAGGCCACUGUGGUCUGUCUGCCACAGUUUAAUGCAUUUAUUUUUAGUGUUAAAUGAAAUUCAAGUAGAAUAUUUAAAACUAUGGGCCAGUGUUCUUUUUACCACAGUGAAAUGUUACCUUUUAGUCGAUGAUGGACUUUAAACUGAAAACUUCAAACUAUGGACCAGUGUUCUAUUUGCCAGAGUUAAAUAUGUUACAGCAGGGGUCU